AUUGAACGCUGGCGGCAGGCUUAACACAUGCAAGUCGAGCGGAGAGAGGUAGCUUGCUCCCGAUCUUAGCGGCGGACGGGUGAAUAAUGCUUAGGAAUCUGCCUAUUAGUGGGGGACAACAUUUCGAAAGGAAUGCUAAUACCGAAUACGUCCUACGGGAGAAAGAAGGGGAUCUUCGGACCUUGCGCUAAUAGAUGAGCCUAAGUCGGAUUAGCUAGUUGGUGGGGUAAAGGCCUACCAAGGCGACGAGCUGUAGCGGGUCUGAGAGGAUGAUCCGCCACACUGGGACUGAGACACGGCCCAGACUCCUACGGGAGGCAGCAGUGGGGAAUAUUGGACAAUGGGCGCAAGCCUGAUCCAGCCAUGCCGCGUGUGUGAAGAAGGCCUUAUGGUUGUAAAGCACUUUAAGCGAGGAGGAGGCUACUUUAGUUAAUACCUAGAGAUAGUGGACGUUACUCGCAGAAUAAGCACCGGCUAACUCUGUGCCAGCCGCCGCCUAACAC
rnacentral:rRNA from 1 species